rnacentral:rRNA from 1 species
UACGUAGGGGGCAAGCGUUGUCCGGAAUCAUUGGGCGUAAAGCGCGCGUAGGCGGCCCGGUAAGUCCGCUGUAAAAGUCCAGGGCUCAACCCUGGAAAGCCGGUGGAUACUGUCGGGCUAGAGUCCGGAAGAGGCGAGUGGAAUUCCGAGUGUAGAGGUGAAAUUCGUAGAUAUUCGGAGGAACACCAGUGGCGAAGGCGGCUCACUGGUCCGGUACUGACGCUGAGGUGCGAAAGCGUGGGGAGCAAACAGG